CGCUUCCUGCCCCCGCCUUCCCUCCCCGCCCCAUUCUCUGUCCUAUUGAACACCUCGCCCAGCCUAGAGCUCACAUUCUCCCCCGGCUCCGGAUGGCGCUCCUGGAAGCUCUGCAACUAGGCUCCACUUCAAAUGGGAAGAAGAUGGACAAUGUCUAUACGCCAUCUUCAGUUGGUAACGCUGUGGCAGUUAGCAUAACCAGUGCUAGGCGAGAUUCAUACUGGCUGCGGUAUGCGUGGCCAACCAGAGUGAGGACAAAUCCCAUUCCGUCUGAAGACUGUCUCCUGCCAGAGAUCAAAUGCAGCUCGCACAUACAUGACGCCAAGCAGAACACACUAAGAGAUUUUCCAUGGCGGGAGCUCGGCACUCCUGGUGUGGGGUUCACUUUGUUCAGGCGUUGUGUUGGGAUUUGAGGAGACUGGCUACAACUCCACAGGGUGGUUGCUGAGGAUGGAGCCUCCAUGUGUCUCAGAAGACUGCAAUUCUUACUGCUAGAAGACUGCAUGGCUAGUUCCCUCUGAGUUAAGCUUCUAUUUCUGAAGCCCAGAUGCAAUGAAGAGGUGCCUAUGAUAGACAC
rnacentral:lncRNA from 1 species